GGUUCGAUUCCGGAGAGGGAGCCUGAGAAACGGCUACCNNNNNNNNNNNNNGCAGCAGGCGCGCAAAUUACCCAAUCCCGACNNNNGGAGGUAGUGACAAUAAAUAACAAUACGGGGCUCUUUCGGGUCUCGUAAUUGGAAUGAGUACAAUUUAAAUCCCUUAACGAGGAACAAUUGGAGGGCAAGUCUGGUGCCAGCAGCCGCGGUAAUUCCAGCUCCAAUAGCGUAUAUUAAAGUUGUUGCAGUUAAAAAGCUCGUAGUUGAAUUUCGGGAUUGACACAUCGGUCGUGCCUUAAGGGGUAUGAACUGGUGUAGUCAAUUUCUCACCUUCUGGAGAACCGCGAUGCCCUUAAUUGGGUGUCACGGGGAACCAGGACCUUUACUUUGAAAAAAUUAGAGUGUUUAAAGCAGGCAUUUUGCUUGAAUACAUUAGCAUGGAAUAAUAAAAUAGGACGGCAUGAUUCUAUUUUGUUGGUUUCUAGGAUCACCGUAAUGAUUAAUAGGGAUAGUUGGGGGCAUUAGUAUUCAAUUGUCAGAGGUGAAAUUCUUGGAUUUAUUGAAGACUAACUACUGCGAAAGCAUUUGCCAAGGAUGUUUUCAUUAAUCAAGAACGAAAGUUAGGGGAUCGAAGACGAUCAGAUACCGUCGUAGUCUUAACCAUAAACUAUGCCGACUAGGAAUCAGACGAUGUUAAUUUUUUAAUGACUCGUUUGGCACCUUACGGGAAACCAAAGUGUUUGGGUU
rnacentral:rRNA from 1 species